UCGGGGUGGCUCCAGCAGGCAAGGUAGUCUCGGUUGGUCCUUGUGUUGCUCCCUCCUAUGCCGAAUGAAGCCAUCUAAUUGGUCACAUCGAAUGAACUUCUCGAUCUCAUCUUAGAGUUGGAUGCAUUUGUCAGUGUUAUGGUUGUGGUCGCGAUGAUAGAGAUAGUACCUAUUCUGAUCAUACUGACCUAGCUUGGACCUCAUCCUCCUGGCUUUGAGAAGUUGCUCCCUUAUUUCCAUCAACACCUGUUCUUUAGAGGUAUUUAGGAGGGUGUAGUUGGUGAACCUGCUAGAUGGUGACAUGCACCAUUGCCCCCUAGGACUCCUUAGCCGUCAAAUCUGAGGGAGAG
rnacentral:lncRNA from 1 species